GCCGCUNUGGUGAAAUUGGUAGACAC
rnacentral:tRNA from 1 species